UACGUAGGAUGCAAGCGUUGUCCGGAAUUAUUGGGCGUAAAGAGCGUGUAGGCGGCUCGCUAAGUCUUGCGUGAAAUCUCGGGGCUCAACCCCGAGCGGUCGUGAGAAACUGGCGGGCUAGAGUGCGGGAGAGGAGAGUGGAAUUCCUGGUGUAGCGGUGAAAUGCGCAGAUAUCAGGAAGAACACCCGUGGCGAAGGCGGCUCUCUGGAACGCAACUGACGCUGAGACGCGAAAGCGUGGGGAGCAAACAGG
rnacentral:rRNA from 1 species